GUGUCUGUGGCCUAAUGAAUAGGGCGUCUGACUACGGGUCAGAAAACUACAGGUUCGAAUCCCGUCGGACUCA
rnacentral:tRNA from 1 species